UAUGCAACAAUAAAGCUUUGCUUGUGGCAAGAAGCACAAACUAAUUAUUUCCUGUCGCCUUGCUCUGUAACACGAAAUGAAAUAUGAAUAUCACUUCGAAACUAAAACAGAAAAUUACCACUUCCUUGGAAAGACUGUCACGUGAUUCACUUAUCAGGAACAAAUGGGCGGUACUUAGAAGGCUGACUAUAAAAGACACUAAACUAGACACCUCGUUUCCGUGUUCUUGCCUUUGCUACAGAAUACUUACGCGGGUUUUCUUCUUUCAGUAUUACACGUACUGUUUGCUCAGUAAAACAUUAUUCAGUCAUCAUGUCUGAUCGUGAAGCUCAACAAAAGAAAGCAGAUAAUGACAACAAAUCAAACCAGUGCAAUCCCAAUAAUGAGAGAUACGAAGGUCAUCAACCGGGGUAUCAGGGCACGGGAGACAAAGCAGAUCUUGAUAACCAUAGUCAACAAUUGAAUCCUAACAACGAGAAAUUUCAAGAAAAAAAAUGAUGUUGCCUACAAGAAAAGUGGAUUAACACUGUAUCAGAUUGUACUGCAAAGAUUUCGCUUAAUUAAAAAACUGUACUGCAAAGAUUUCGCUUAAUUAAAAAACUAUCAUUUUCUACUUAAACUCUUUCAAAUAAAGCCUCUUUAAAACCUA
rnacentral:sRNA from 1 species